rnacentral:rRNA from 1 species
GACGAACGCUGGCGGCGUGCUUAACACAUGCAAGUCGAACGGAAAGGCCCUGCUUUUGUGGGGUGCUCGAGUGGCGAACGGGUGAGUAACACGUGAGUAACCUGCCCUUGACUUUGGGAUAACUUCAGGAAACUGGGGCUAAUACCGGAUAGGAGCUCCUGCUGCAUGGUGGGGGUUGGAAAGUUUCGGCGGUUGGGGAUGGACUCGCGGCUUAUCAGCUUGUUGGUGGGGUAGUGGCUUACCAAGGCUUUGACGGGUAGCCGGCCUGAGAGGGUGACCGGCCACAUUGGGACUGAGUUACGGCCCAGACUCCUACGGGAGGCAGAAGUGGGGAAUUUUGCACAAUGGGCGGAAGCCUGAGGAAGCAACGCCGCGUGCGGGACGACGGCCUUCGGGUUGUAAGCCGCUUUCGCCUGUGACGAAGCGUGAGUGACGGUAAUGGGUAAAGAAGCACCGGCUAACUACGU